GUAGGGAAUAUUGCGCAAUGGACGAAAGUCUGACGCAGCAACACCGCGUGGGUGAUGAAGCAUCUAGGUGUGUAAAACCCUGUCAGUGGGGAAGAACAGCAUGAGGAGUAACUGCCUUGUGCCUGACGGUACCCGCAGAGGAAGUCCCGGCUAACUCCGUGCCAGCAGCCGCGGUAAUACGGGGGGGACGAGCGUUGUUCGGAUUUACUGGGCGUAAAGGGCGCGUAGGCGGGCCCUCAAGUCGGGUGUGAAAACUGGUGGCUCAACUGCCAGCCUGCAUUCGAUACUGAGGAUCUUGAGUACGGGAGAGGAAAGCGGAAUUCCAGGUGUAGCGGUGAAAUGCGUAGAUAUCUGGAAGAACACCCGUAGCGAAGGCGGCUUUCUGGACCGAUACUGACGCUAAAGCGCGAAGGCUUGGGUAGCAAACAGG
rnacentral:rRNA from 1 species